rnacentral:misc_RNA from 1 species
CCGAGUUUACAACUCCCAAACCCAUGUGAAUCUUACCUUUACGUUGCUUCGGCCGGACUGCCCCGGGCGCCUUUGGUGCCCCGGAUUCAGGCGCCGGCCGGGGAACCGAAACUCUUGUUUUAUUAGUAUCUUCUCUGAGUGGAUUACACAAAUAAUCA